GUCUAUUCUCAAAUCCUUUGUGAGAACUUCAUUUUGCAAGAUUCAACUCUGAUCAUAUUUAGAUCAUGUAACUGUUGCUAGUCGCUGUUACAUUCGCAUGCUAGUUCGAUAUGAUAGUGAUGUCAUUGUUUAAUAGUAUUCACUUACUGAAUUUCAUCACCUCAAAAAGGAAUAUUUAUUGUGAUACCAUUUAUGCUACCUGAGUUACCAUGAGCAUGUAUUGAUUUAUGUGUGUAUUCUUAACGUGUAGGCUAUUAUAGAUGCGGAAAUGAAGGAUGGCCACAAUGAUCCACAUUCCGUACCAUCAGAAGAGCUAUCAGCUUCUUUGGGGUAAAACCGGGUAUGACCAGCAGAUUCUCCCCCAACAACCUUGACUGUUGCUGCUCCUGCAGUCCAUGAAGUGUCAAGUGGUAGUUGCUGAUUGUAGUUGUAGGUGGUAUUUUGUGAAGAAGCUCGUCGUUGUGAGAACCUUGUAGCCCGGGUGUAAAUUGAGCUAGCUGUAGUUUCGCUUCUCAAUUGAACUAUUAAGAAUAUCUUGCUGCCAAUGUCGAUCAGUUUUUGUAUGCCACUCGGUCUGAGAUCCAUGGCUGUUUUUGGUUGCUUAACUUGUAGCUAGUGGUAGAAAUGUUACGGAUCCUCCUUGUCAAGCUGGCAAGCGAAAACAUUCCCCAACUUUCAGUUAUAUGGUUCUGAUGUUGAAAUGCUGUGUAAUCAACUGGGUGGCUCUCCAAUCAUCUUUUUUUUAUCUCUA